AUCACGUCACAUCCGUGACGCCGGACGAGGGGAACCGUACCCGGCCAGCGACAAGACGGUGCCGC
rnacentral:ncRNA from 1 species